GCCAGCAUGGCCUAGUGGUUUGAGUACUGGACUACAACUCUGGAGACCAGGUUCGAUUCCCAGCUUGGCC
rnacentral:tRNA from 1 species